GAUGAAGAACGUAGCGAAAUGCGAUAAGUAAUGUGAAUUGCAGAAUUCAGUGAAUCAUCGAAUCUUUGAACGCACAUUGCGCCCCCUGGUAUUCCGGGGGGCAUGCCUGUUCGAGCGUCAUUACAACCCUCAAGCUCUGCUUGGUGUUGGGCCCCGCCGCCCCGGCGGGCCCUAAAAUCAGUGGCGGUGCCGUCCGGCUCCGAGCGUAGUAAUUCUUCUCGCUCUGGAGGUCCGGGUGUGUGCUCGCCAGCAACCCCCAAUUUUUUUCAGGUUGACCUCGGAUCAGGUAGGGAUACCCGCUGAACUUAAGCAUACAAUAAGCGGAGGA
rnacentral:misc_RNA from 1 species